rnacentral:misc_RNA from 1 species
AAGUCAUAACAAGGUUUCCGUAGGUGAACCUGCGGAAGGAUCAUUAUUAAUGCCCUCUGACGCAAGUCAUUGGGUUAGAUCUGCUCUCUUCGCAAGAAGAGGGUUUCCAUACACACCGUGAACUGUGGCUUCGGCCAUCACAAACUGUUAGUAAUGAAUGUAAUAUCAUAACAAAAACAAAACUUUUAACAACGGAUCUCUUGGCUCUC